rnacentral:rRNA from 1 species
GGAUUCGAUUAGAGUUGAUCAUGGCUCAGAACGAACGCUGGCGGCAUGCCUAACACAUGCAAGUCGAACGAAGGCUUCGGCCUUAGUGGCGCACGGGUGCGUAACGCGUGGGAAUCUGCCCUUAGGUUCGGAAUAACAGUUGGAAACGACUGCUAAUACCGGAUGAUGACGUAAGUCCAAAGAUUUAUCGCCUGAGGAUGAGCCCGCGUAGGAUUAGCUAGUUGGUGUGGUAAGAGCGCACCAAGGCGACGAUCCUUAGCUGGUCUGAGAGGAUGAUCAGCCACACUGGGACUGAGACACGGCCCAGACUCCUACGGGAGGCAGCAGUGGGGAAUAUUGGACAAUGGGCGAAAGCCUGAUCCAGCGAUGCCGCGUGAGUGAAGAAGGCCCCUGGGUUGUAAAGCUCUUUCGUCGGGGAAGAAAAUGACUGUACCCGAAUAAGAAGGUCCGGCUAACUUCGUGCCAGCAGCCGCGGUAAUACGAAGGGACCUAGCGUAGUUCGGAAUUACUGGGCUUAAAGAGUUCGUAGGUGGUUGAAAAAGUUGGUGGUGAAAUCCCAGAGCUUAACUCUGGAACUGCCAUCAAAACUUUUCAGCUAGAGUACGAUAGAGGAAAGCAGAAUUUCUAGUGUAGAGGUGAAAUUCGUAGAUAUUAGAAAGAAUACCAAUUGCGAAGGCAGCUUUCUGGAUCAUUACUGACACUGAGGAACGAAAGCAUGGGUAGCGAAGAGGAUUAGAUACCCUCGUAGUCCAUGCCGUAAACGAUGUGUGUUAGACGUUGGAAAUUUAUUUUCAGUGUCGCAGCGAAAGCGAUAAACACACCGC